GGUUAAGCGACUAAGCGUACACGGUGGAUGCCCUGGCAGUCAGAGGCGAUGAAGGACGUGCUAAUCUGCGAAAAGCGUCGGUAAGGUGAUAUGAACCGUUACAGCCGGCGAUGUCCGAAUGGGGAAACCCAGUGCAAUUCGUUGCACUAUCGUUAACUGAAUACAUAGGUUAACGAGGCGAACCGGGGGAACUGAAACAUCUAAGUACCCCGAGGAAAAGAAAUCAACCGAGAUUCCCCCAGUAGCGGCGAGCGAACGGGGAGCAGCCCAGAGUCUGAAUCAGCUUGUGUGUUAGUGGAACGGUCUGGAAAGUCCGACGGUACAGGGUGAUAGUCCCGUACACCAAAAUGCACAGGCUGUGAACUCGAAGAGUAGGGCGGGACACGUGGUAUCCUGUCUGAAUAUGGGGGGACCAUCCUCCAAGGCUAAAUACUCCUGACUGACCGAUAGUGAACCAGUACCGUGAGGGAAAGGCGAAAAGAACCCCGGCGAGGGGAGUGAAAAAGAACCUGAAACCGUGUACGUACAAGCAGUGGGAGCACCUUCGGGUGUGACUGCGUACCUUUUGUAUAAUGGGUCAGCGACUUAUAUUCUGUAGCAAGGUUAACCGUAUAGGGGAGCCGCAGGGAAACCGAGUCUUAACUGGGCGUUAAGUUGCAGGGUAUAGACCCGAAACCCGGUGAUCUAGCCAUGGGCAGGUUGAAGGUUGGGUAACACUAACUGGAGGACCGAACCGACUAAUGUUGAAAAAUUAGCGGAUGACUUGUGGCUGGGGGUGAAAGGCCAAUCAAACCGGGAGAUAGCUGGUUCUCCCCGAAAGCUAUUUAGGUAGCGCCUCGUGAACUCAUCUUCGGGGGUAGAGCACUGUUUCGGCUAGGGGGUCAUCCCGACUUACCAACCCGAUGCAAACUACGAAUACCGAAGAAUGUUAUCACGGGAGACACACGGCGGGUGCUAACGUCCGUCGUGAAGAGGGAAACAACCCAGACCGCCAGCUAAGGUCCCAAAGUCAUGGUUAAGUGGGAAACGAUGUGGGAAGGCACAGACAGCCAGGAUGUUGGCUUAGAAGCAGCCAUCAUUUAAAGAAAGCGUAAUAGCUCACUGGUCGAGUCGGCCUGCGCGGAAGAUGUAACGGGGCUAAACCAUGCACCGAAGCUGCGGCAGCGACACUAUGUGUUGUUGGGUAGGGGAGCGUUCUGUAAGCCUGCGAAGGUGUGCUGUGAGGCAUGCUGGAGGUAUCAGAAGUGCGAAUGCUGACAUAAGUAACGAUAAAGCGGGUGAAAAGCCCGCUCGCCGGAAGACCAAGGGUUCCUGUCCAACGUUAAUCGGGGCAGGGUGAGUCGACCCCUAAGGCGAGGCCGAAAGGCGUAGUCGAUGGGAAACAGGUUAAUAUUCCUGUACUUGGUGUUACUGCGAAGGGGGGACGGAGAAGGCUAUGUUAGCCGGGCGACGGUUGUCCCGGUUUAAGCAUGUAGGCUGAUUGUCCAGGCAAAUCCGGAUAAUCAAGGCUGAGGUGUGAUGACGAGGCACUACGGUGCUGAAGUAACAAAUGCCCUGCUUCCAGGAAAAGCCUCUAAGCAUCAGGUAACAUCAAAUCGUACCCCAAACCGACACAGGUGGUCAGGUAGAGAAUACCAAGGCGCUUGAGAGAACUCGGGUGAAGGAACUAGGCAAAAUGGUGCCGUAACUUCGGGAGAAGGCACGCUGGUGUGUAGGUGAAGUCCCUGCGGAUGGAGCUGAGACCAGUCGAAGAUACCAGCUGGCUGCAACUGUUUAUUAAAAACACAGCACUGUGCAAACACGAAAGUGGACGUAUACGGUGUGACGCCUGCCCGGUGCCGGAAGGUUAAUUGAUGGGGUUAUCCGUAAGGAGAAGCUCUUGAUCGAAGCCCCGGUAAACGGCGGCCGUAACUAUAACGGUCCUAAGGUAGCGAAAUUCCUUGUCGGGUAAGUUCCGACCUGCACGAAUGGCGUAAUGAUGGCCAGGCUGUCUCCACCCGAGACUCAGUGAAAUUGAACUCGCUGUGAAGAUGCAGUGUACCCGCGGCAAGACGGAAAGACCCCGUGAACCUUUACUAUAGCUUGACACUGAACAUUGAGCCUUGAUGUGUAGGAUAGGUGGGAGGCUUUGAAGCGUGGACGCCAGUCUGCGUGGAGCCAACCUUGAAAUACCACCCUUUAAUGUUUGAUGUUCUAACGUUGGCCCCUGACCGGGGUUGCGGACAGUGUCUGGUGGGUAGUUUGACUGGGGCGGUCUCCUCCCAAAGCGUAACGGAGGAGCACGAAGGUUAGCUAAUCCUGGUCGGACAUCAGGAGGUUAGUGCAAUGGCAUAAGCUAGCUUGACUGCGAGCGUGACGGCGCGAGCAGGUGCGAAAGCAGGUCAUAGUGAUCCGGUGGUUCUGAAUGGAAGGGCCAUCGCUCAACGGAUAAAAGGUACUCCGGGGAUAACAGGCUGAUACCGCCCAAGAGUUCAUAUCGACGGCGGUGUUUGGCACCUCGAUGUCGGCUCAUCACAUCCUGGGGCUGAAGUAGGUCCCAAGGGUAUGGCUGUUCGCCAUUUAAAGUGGUACGCGAGCUGGGUUUAGAACGUCGUGAGACAGUUCGGUCCCUAUCUGCCGUGGGCGCUGGAGAAUUGAGGGGGGCUGCUCCUAGUACGAGAGGACCGGAGUGGACGCAUCACUGGUGUUCGGGUUGUCAUGCCAAUGGCACUGCCCGGUAGCUAAAUGCGGAAGAGAUAAGUGCUGAAAGCAUCUAAGCACGAAACUUGCCCCGAGAUGAGUUCUCCCUGAGACU
rnacentral:rRNA from 1 species